rfam:Anopheles sinensis unplaced genomic scaffold AS2_scf7180000695544, whole genome shotgun sequence.
AUAUCCGGCAGGAACUCGGUGCUGUGAUCUGUGUGGUUUUAAUAUUUCACAUCACAGUCUGAGUUCUUGCUCGAUGG